rnacentral:rRNA from 1 species
GGGGAACCAGGACUUUUACUGUGAAAAAAUUAGAGUGUUCAAAGCAGGCCUUCGCCCGAAUACAUUAGCAUGGAAUAAUAGAAUAGGACGUUGUGGUUCUAUUUUGUUGGUUUCUAGGACCGCCGUAAUGAUUAAUAGGGAUAGUCGGGGGCAUCAGUAUUCAAUUGUCAGAGGUGAAAUUCUUGGAUUUAUUGAAGACUAACUACUGCGAAAGCAUUUGCCAAGGAUGUUUUCAUUAAUCAGGAACGAAAGUUAGGGGAUCGAAGACGAUCAGAUACCGUCGUAGUCUUAACCGUAAACGAUGCCGACUAGGGAUCGGGCGAUGUUAUCAUUUUGACUCGCUCGGCACCUUACGAGAAAUCAAAGUUUUUGGGUUCUGGGGGGAGUAUGGUCGCAAGGCUGAAACUUAAAGGAAUUGACGGAAGGGCACCACCAGG